rnacentral:rRNA from 1 species
CCUUCCCAUCCCGAACAGGACAGUGAAACGACUCAGCGCCGAUGAUAGUGCGGGUUCCCGUGUGAAAGUAGGUCAUCGUCAGGC